GGGAGGCAGCAGUGGGGAAUAUUGCACAAUGGGGGAAACCCUGAUGCAGCGACGCCGCGUGAAGGAAGAAGGAUUUCGGUUCGUAAACUUCUAUCAGCAGGGAAGAUAGUGACAGUACCUGACUAAGAAGCCCCGGCUAACUACGUGCCAGCAGCCGCGGUAAUACGUAGGGGGCAAGCGUUAUCCGGAAUUACUGGGUGUAAAGGGUGCGUAGGCGGUUUGUUWAGCCAGAWGKGAAAGCCCGGGGGYUCAACCUYGGGAMUGCAK
rnacentral:rRNA from 1 species